rnacentral:rRNA from 1 species
GGGAUAUUGGACAAUGGGGGGAACCCUGAUCCAGCGACGCCGCGUGAGUGAAGAAGUAUUUCGGUAUGUAAAGCUCUGUCAGCAGGGGAGAAAGAAAUGACGGUACCUGACCACGAAGCCCCGGCAAACUACGUCCCAGCAGCCGCGGUAAUACGUAGGGGGCAAGCGUUAUCCGUACUUACUGGGUGUAAAGGGAGCGUAGACGGUUAAGUAAGUCUGGAGUGAAAGGCCGGGGCCAAACCCCGGGACUGCUCUGGAAACUAUUCAACUUGAGUGCAGGAGAGGUAAGCGGAAUUCCUAGUGUAGCGGUGAAAUGCGUAGAUAUUAGGAGGAACACCAGUGGCGAAGGCGGCUUACUGGACUGUAACUGACGUUGAGGCUCGAAAGCGUGGGGAGCAAAC